UUCUAGAGCAAUCUGAUGUGAGACACUGCCCUAGAGCUUUUUCUCCCUUUGUCCUUUCUGCAGCUGAAUGUAGUGUCUUGAGACAAUGGUGAUCACAAGGAGCGACCUUCAGAGGAUAUUUGUAGUAAAAGAAAACAGUUGGAUCUCUAGAACACACCAAAAGCAAAACAUUAAAAUGUUACUUUUGUUCAAAUAUGUUAAGAAAGUGCCCAGGGAAGUGGUGGAGUCACCAAGCCUGGAGGUGUUCAAGUGCAGUGUGGUUGUGGCACUGAGGGAUGUGGUCAGUGGGCAUGGUGGGAUGGGCUGAUACUGGACUAAGUGCUCUCAGAGGUCUCUUCCAAGUGCAGUGAUUCUAUGAUCUGCACAGGGACGGGGGAUGUAAAACAUAUGUACAUCCAGAGAUCUGAAACCUGCACUCGUUAACUCGAUCAUCUAUAGUAGGGCAUGCCGAAAUGAAACAAAUAUUGGGCUAAUGGAAAAUUCAAUAUAUAUUAAUGUAAUUUGUCUCUAGAAGUGUACAGUGUAUAUUUCAUGUCAUAUCACACCGCUUGAUAUACAGAGAAGAAAAAUACACAUUUUGAGCGUAUAAUCCAUCUAAUCUGUUCUGGAGGGGAAUUGUACAGAGAAAUAUACUUUUGUGUACAGUGUGAUCUGACAGGUCAGAUGUGGACAUCUGUAUUUUAGAUGUAUAUUGUCAAGCUAAGUAGUUUUGCUUCAGUUAAGAAGGUUUAUUUUGGUUGUGUAAGUCAUUUCUGGUUUGUAUAAAUUAUUACGGAAAGAGGGGCAAAACCACCAUAUUGACAGUGCCCCAUGAACUUUAGGAAAACUUGAUGUCAGUAAGGCAUUGUCUAAAUAUUUAGCACCCAAAUGUCUCCUGUUAUAACCCUGUAUACAGAGAUGAGCCUCUUGGUUGCUGACUAUUAAUUCUUUCAUAAUUGCCAUCAUUCUUCUUGCAGCUUAGUUAAGAAUUGUGGAUUUACACAGAGCCUCUCCUACACCUGAAUAAAUCUUGCUUGCAAGUCCCUAUUAAGAAACCACCAGUGCUGGAGUUCUUGGCAUCAAAAACUCAUCUCUGUAAGGUAAUAUUACCAGCUGGCUUUGUUUGGAAGAAUGAAGUAAGUCAGAGUGUCCUAAAUCUGGAUACGCUACACUUGUUGAGAGAGGCAAAUGACUCAUCCUCUGGAUGGAGGGCUGCUGAAGAGCUGGGCGGUGAUCUUGAUACAUGCUUGUGGGAGGAAAAGCAGAGCCCCCUUUAAAUACUGAAAGGCUGCUCUCGGAUCACCUCAGAGCCUUCAUGCUGAACAGCCUCAGCUCUCUCAGCCUGUCCUCAUAGAAGAAGUGUUCCAUCCCUUGGAUCAUUUUUGUGGCCCUCCUCUGGAUGUGCUUCAACAGUUCCAUGUCUCUUCUGUACUGAGUACUCCACAUCUGAACGCAGAACAGAUGUAUAACAAAGUACACUGUGGUUUGUUCAUGGAUUAAACAAUUCAGCAUUUUGGACGUAAUCUGGAAUUACAUUGCUGCUUUACGUGGUGUUUUGAUGCUCAGAAGAUCACGGACUACUCAUUCUCUGCAUGGCUCACAGAGGGCUCUAAAACCAGAAGUAUGUGCAACCACUGGCUGGACAUGAUGAAUUUUACAAGGAAUACGUCUGAAGAAACUCUAUCUCUGAAGUAUCUGUUGAAGAAAACAGCCUCAUGUGUCUCCUAUUAUCCAAUGGAAGAACUGGAGGAGCAGAGAUGUGAAGCUGUCCGCUCAAAGCUAUAUAGGAGGCCAGUGACAAAUCCAGGAAUCCAAGCCAAAGCUCCUAAGUUGCAUUCUAAUUCUCUAAUCAGCACAGAAUUUGCCUUCUGGCAUUGUGAUGAGAUGAUGCGCGCAGGCUCUGACUGAGAAAAUGGGGCUUCCCAGCAAGAGUACCGUGGUUGGAGGUUCAACAGUGUUGGGAGUCUGGAAAAAGAUGAACCCCCAGGCACAGCAGCAGUGGUUGUGGGAGAGGAGAAACAAACAUUCUCCUCGCAUCACUCAUGCCAGCAGUCUGAGCAGGAGGAAGGUAGAGGAACACUCCUACAGAGAACCAGGACUGGUUUGUCUCUUUAGAAGGGAGCAAUGAUAUUUUGAACAUUUUUACCAAAUCCCAGAGUGUGCAACAGCAUUUUAUGGACUGGGAAUUAUAUAACCGAAAAACUGUGAGAUCGAAAGAAUUAUAGGAAGCCAUGGAGAGCUGCAACCUAAGCAUCCUGAAAUCGGUGACCAAGCCCCAAGGAUGCCUCUUGUUACUGCAGCCACUUUCAAUGACUGCUGUUUUUUUGUGUGAUUUACCAGCCCCAGUGAGCUCCCCAAGACAGAAUAGGGAAAGAUGGGCUUCAAGUUGAGCCAGGGGAGAUUUAGGUUGGAUAUCAGGAAACAUUUCUUUACAGCAAGGGUUGUUAAGCAAUGGAAUAGGCUUCCUGGGGAGGUGGUUGAGUCACCAUCCCUGGAUGUGUUUAAAAACUGUUUGGAUGUGGUGCUCAAGGACGUGAUGUAGUGGAGAGUUGUUAGGGUUAGGGUAGGAUGGUCACGUCAUGGUUGGACUCGAUGGUUUUGAAGAUCUUUUUCAACCUGAGCAAUUCUAUGAUUCUAUGAUUCAGUGAUUUUGGUCCAGAAGAAGAUUCUGCAGUAGUGAACUGUUUGGCUUGUGGAAUGAGUUACAGAAUUCCUAUUUAAAAAACAAAGAAGAUGGUGUAAAUCUGCACCUGGGAGGUAGUGUAUGCUUUGAAAAAGGCAAUUCAAAAAAUAAUGGACUGGUAUCGAAACUCUGUGAUCAGCAGUUUAAGGUUUUAUAAGUCUUUAUGCUGAGACACGAAACAUGUAAUUAGAAUAAUAACUGUAAGCAGAGGGCGAUGCAACCAUUAUCUAGAUCAUGUGUUAAUACUGAAGAAACUUAAAAAUUUACCCUCCUCCCCCCAAAUUUUUAAGACCUAAUUUGACUGUUUGUUCUUUUUCUUUUUUUUUUUAAAAACAUUUUCAAUCGUGUUACAUUUUGCUGAGGAAUUAUCUCGUUUUCCUGUUGUCUGAAUAAGAGUCCCUGAGUCCUGGUCCCAAAUGUCAGUAUUUGCACUGUGCUGGCAGCUGUGUGUUUGUGGUCACCCCACGGCAAUGUUUGUGAGGACUGUAUACAGUGGCAGUGUCUCUUUCAGAGAACACCAGGAGGAAAAUAGCGUGUGGCCAACUCACACGUAAUUUGUUCUCCUUAGCGGAGGUCUCACAUACGCAGUACUUAAAUGGCACUUUUUGUUUCUGGGUAAGAUGAAGGUAACUGAUAGAAACCAUUCAAAAGCCUCUCUGGCUGUUGCUUAUGUUCCCUGCAAAGGACUGAAGAGAACAGCUCUUUGGAGACGUGGCUUUACAUUGAACAUACGCAGGGCUGUGUCAUUAUUAAUUCUGCAAAUGUGUUUACAAUGGUUAGGUAAAAUAUUUAGUUACUAUUUAAAUAUUUUGAUGUAUUAUAGCUCAUACCCAAAUUUUAGAUGUCUACUGCACUUAACAUUUCCAAUUUAAAUAACCGGUUUCAUUAGGGUUUUUAGUGAUACAAAUUAAUAACAAAAGGCAGUUAAUGCAGAGUACGGUUAUGAGACCAAAAUACAUGUGGUUUAAAUUUAAAGAAUUAAAUGUUAGCAUUUCCCUAUAGAGAAAGGUUAUUUGGGCAGUGGUGUACUGACAUUAUCACCACCCACGGAGAAGGGGGCCUGUUGAUCCUAUUGGUUAAGUACAAAUUCAGAAACGGAAGAAAUGUUGGUCUAGAGGGUUUGCUUGGUGUGAGUGAAUCACACAGGAAAAAUGCUGAUACCUAGGGUAGCUCAGUGACCUUCUUUGAUGGUUAGAAAGAGAAAUAAGCACACAAGGUUUCUGUCAAAGUCAGAAGGUUUAGGUUGCUCGCUGGGUAAAACCAGCCCAGCUUAUAGUGGAAAGUUAAAUGAUGAGCAUGGAAGUAUGAUAAUAAGCUGUGUUGUAAGUGAGACAGAAAUGAUUUUCUGUGGCCAGUAAGAACGAUAAUCCAACGUGUUAACCAUUGGGCUCGAGGGCUGCUAAGAAAAUAAAUGUGCAAAGUGGAUAAAAUAAAGGCUGAAAGUAUGUUUAAGUAGGUGUUUCUUCAAAGCUUUCUUCAGGAGGGUGUUUUGGACACUCUGCCCUACUGCUUUUGGCAAGACAUGUCUGUUAUAAUAAAGGUAAGCAUGCGGCUUUCGUUCUAGCAGAAAAUAGUGCUAACUGUAGCUCGGGAUUUAUGUGCUUUUGUAAUAAUUUUCGUGGACUUAGCUAGAAACAAAUCUAUUGAAGGUAGCAAUUACUAACUUGGCACUAUUUGACGUUAGUUAAAUCUAACAACGCUGGGAUGGCUUCACCUAUUAUUCCUGGAAGAAACUGCAAAAUCGGGUGGUUUUAGGGAGUUUUGUGUGGAUGUGGGACUGCGCAGAGAAGGCAGCUCUCAGCAUCAGUGCACGUAAGGAAAACUUGGCUCUGAGCCUCAGGCCGACAGCUUGGAAACGGACUGGGCUGAAACGCAGGCUCCCAAUGCUCUGCACUUUGGCUUUUGAAAAUUUCUGUGUGAGACCUAAUUUCAAUCUGAAAAAUCAAAAUACAGUGCUUUGUGAUCAGUUUUGCUUUGUUUCAACCUAAAACUCAAAGCAAAACUCUUGGUGUAUAGAACUGUACAAAGUAAAACGUAAGAAAGUGAACCCAAGAGCUCUACAGACUGAACAAGCUAGUUUCACUUAGCUCUCAAAAUAAUCCCCAUUUUGCAAGUUCACUUUUAAAUUGCACAUGUAGCAGAUGUCAAAAUUGAGCUGGUUUCACUAUGGGUAGUGCAGCUCCAAAGCACCACACCGUCAUCAAGAUCUCAGUGCUUGCUCUCAGUCUCAGCUGGUACUUUGGACAUCUGUCAAGAGAUGAAUGUUUUUCUGUCUCAGCCUGGUCACAUUUAACUUUUGUUCAUCUCUAAGGCGAUGAUCAGUAUGUUUUCAUAUCCAGCUCUGAAUUCAUUUCCUAAGCCUCUGAUAAUGCUCUAAAUGGCACCCACUCUUGAAAUGGCAGGAGCCACUCACUGCACCCCUGGAAGGUCAUCUUUGAAAUCAUGUGUGUUCAAUUCAAGGCCUGAUGUUGCAGAGAUGCUGAACAUCUGCUGUUCCUCCACGCUAGCCCACAAACUGCAGGUGCUCAUGCCACUGCAAACAUCAGACGCCUACUCCCCAGGCACUCUUAUUCAAAAUGAAGCAAUGAGCAGCCCUCUGCUUUGCUUUAGCUUUUUGUGAAAACAUAGUGCAGCUGGAUAGAAGCAAACAUACGAGCUGUGCCCAUACAGUGGCACUUCUAGCCGAGCACUGUUGAGUGUUUGGGAAUUCAGACUAGUCAGAGUUCCUCCCUUCAUGGAAUCAAAGAAUCAUAGAUUCAUUAAGGUUGGAAAAUACCUCUAGGACCAUUUAGUCCAACCACCAACUCAUCCUCAUCAUACCCACUAACUAUGUCCCUCAAUGCCACAUCUACACGAUUCUUUAACGCCUCCUGGGACAGUGCCUUCCUGGGCAGCCUGUUCCAAUGCUUUACCACUCUUUCUGGGAAGAAGUUCUUCCUAAUAUCCACCCUGAAUCUCCCCUUGUGCAACUUGAGGCCAUUCUCUCUCAUCCUAUUGCUGUUGCCUGGAAGAAGAGGCUGACCCCCACCUUGCCAUGACCUCCUUUCAGGGAGUUGUGGAGAGCAAUAAGGUCUCCCCUGAGCCUCGUCUUCUCCAGUCUAAACAAUCCCAGUUUCCUCAGCCACUCCCCAUAAGACCUGUAUUCACUGAGCAGCUGAUCCAUUUCCUUCCCUCAUUUCCAAAAAAAUACUGAGAGACUGACUUGAGCUCCCAGAAUGACCACUGAUGGAAAAGUGAGACCCUGGCAGCAGCGGGGCUGGGUGAGUCAUCAUCUGAAUGUAGAGCUCAGUUUCUGGCAGCUUUGUUAAGAAGUGGGGACUAGAGAGAGAUGUUCAAAAGAAAUAUAGUAUCUGAUCAUCAGUGAUCUUAUGUGCAUAUAUUUUGUUUAUUCAGGAAGCAGAUGUCAAAUUCUCAUGACAAACCAGGACCUGGAAAAGUGCUGAGUGCCAGGGGAAUGGCUGAACUUGAAAAUAAAAGGCUAUCUGGAAAUACACAAGCUGAGUUACAUAAGGAUUGUAUUGCAAAUGGAAUUUACAAUGUAAUGGCUCACCUCUGCACGAGAGUGAGCCUUGUCAUGUGCAAGCAUAUGUUACAGGGAAAUCCACUGGGCUGUUGAUGGAAAGCAAAUAUUAUGUGACCCUGAAUCUCACUUGAUAUUUUAAACCAUAAUAGUUUCAGAUUUGAGUCACAAUAAGUAGGAUAUAUAUAUGUUUGUAUAUAGAAGCUUUUAAGCUCUGAGCAAGGCUUCUGCCUUGGCAAUAUUUUCACCUCAAAUUGCACAUUUGGUCCUCUAUUCUCAUAAUUGUAGCUUCAAUUCAAAGUCAGAAAUCAGAUGAGAGGCUUCCGAACUUUGACAAGAAAUCCAAUUACAAUGACAAUCUGCAAUUACAAUUACAAUCUUCUCUUUUCUACUCUGGCCACUUUGAGCUCCAGUUUCAUCCACACAUGUUACACCUUGCUUCUUCACAGGGCUUCCUGCAUAGAGGUGACAUCAGGAUUGGACCAGUGCCUUAUUUGCCCCUUUGGAGCUUUCAGUAGGAACAGAUAAGUUCUUAGCAUUGCAUGGAGAACACCCUCAGCCCAGGGUCUUCUUUGGAACACUCCUCUGUCAGAGCAAGAGCUGGAGAGGAUGGCACAUGAGAGGCACACAUGGGGAAAAAUCUGUUUUCUUUUUUUAAUUCAGCACUUUGACCUGAAACACUGAGGCGAGCUGUGCAAAGAGCUGCUUGCAGAGCAGAGUGCUGCAAGGUAGGAGGAGAGGCUCUACUUAAGAGAAAAUCUGCCACAGUCUACAAAACAAUCCCACCACAAAAUAAAAUUAAAAGUAAUGAGAUUUUCCACUGUUAACUUAAUAGCAGCAAACCACAUGUUCUAAACAAUGUUUUUUUAUUUUUUAUUUUUUUUUUAUUUUUAUUUUUUUUGGUGUGAGGACUCAUUUUUAGUAACAAACCCCAGACUGUUAGCCCUGCCAUUUUUCCACUGCUGGAGGAAAACGUGGACUCUUGCUGAGUUUGUAUGGUGAAUAUCUCAGAGAUAUUUGAAUCUGCCACCGGUAAAAGGCCUUUAAAUGUGCUCACAUGGAGGAACCAGCUCAAGGUAAAGGAAAUGGAAAAAAUGGGAAAAAGAAGAGACCUCUCUUUGGAUCUUUAGCUGUGUUAUUUUUUUAGAUUAUAUUUCUUCUGAGCUCCCAAAAUCUUCAGUAACAAACAAGUUUUCUUUUAAAAAGUAUUAAGUUAUCAAAACAUUUGCCAGGUCCUAAUAUUAAAUCGUAGCAGUCAGCAAUGUUUAAGUUCAGCUAUAUCAUUUUGCUGAGUAAGUCAUGUUAAAACUUACAGUUUUCCCCUUAAAAUGAUCUUUCCAAAUGAGGUUGAUAUUGUGAGAAAAAAAGAAAAAAGAGAGGGACGCCUUCAUCAUAAGGAAUUAUGGAAUUAAUUUUCUUUAUACACUGUGUUUGCACAGGACAUUUUUGUUAACUCUUAAUAAAAAUACCAUUCAGCUGCUACUUUCAUUGUUUUUAUCCUGGGACCAAUACAACAUUGUCAUUAUUGGAUAUAAAGUGCUGUAAAAACAAAUCUAAUUUGUUAAGUUUAUUUUGAUAAGAAAUAAAUAUAAAGGUAGUGCAUAGUUUGUAUAGUGCUGCUAUCAUAGGACUCCUGGGUAUAAUUUAUAUAAAGAAAAUAAAAAAGCAUACAUAACUUUCUAGUUGAUUUCCUUUAACAGGGCUAAUUGAAAACAGUUUCUGUUAUUUAAAAGUAAUUUAUUUUAAAUAUAGUUUUUAAAACAAAGUUCUUAUUGAUAUCCAUUUUAAGUAUAAUAUUAUCUCAGUGUGGGAUACAAGUAAAAGGUCAAAUCUUGUAGGAGUAUUUUCUGUAUGACUCAGUUCUGAUCAUAGAUAAACUUAUCAGGGAAACCAAAUUAGUUAACCUUUUCAGUACUGCUUGUUUUAGCAGGCCACAACUGUUUCUUUCACAAAGGCAGCGCUUCAAAGCUCGUGCUUUUGUUCUGAAAAAUGAAAAAGAGUGCACUAAUUUCCCUUUUCUCUAUCUGAUAGCAGGCAAAGGCUAGUGAGAUUUUGAGCAUGAAAUUGGUCUUGAUGAAAUUCAGGAGAUGGCCAUAUGAAGUAAUACAUUAUUUGUUUUUAGUUGUGCUGUUAUGUAACAAAGAUGUGCAAUUUCUUAACUCCACGAUGCCUUUCAUUUACAGACACUGUUAAAGUAUAUGCUUUCUCAUGUCCAGUAGCUUAAUCCUAAUAGAAUAACUUGAAUCAUAGAAUGCCUUGGGUUGGAAGGGACUCAAAGAUCACCUAGUUCCAACCCCAAAUGUCCAGGCCUGAUUACUGGAGUGCUGAUACAUACUUUAUAAACAGAAAGGCUGCAUGGGACAUACCUGUAGGAACCAGCCUCUUCCCAUAACACUUGAUAACUUGUUCAGUUUCUGUCCAGUUAGCUGUUUUUUACAUUUCUCAGAAGUUUCUUCAGCUCUGCUUCCUUUUUCUUUCCAUUGUGGCACUGCCAAUCAGUUGCUCUGAUACGUUCAAACUCAGUACCAAAAUCUUCUCUUCUCUCAUAGAGCCAGAGUGACUGAAAGAUUUUUAUGGACUUCAGAUUUUAGACUGUGCUCAUAUCUGAAAGAAACCCCCACAGACACCAAGGAGUCCCAACCUUCCUCAUGGUGUUUGGGCUGCCUCACCUCUACCAGCAAUUUGAUGUCAUCGCUGAGGGACACUUUGACUCACUGGGGUUUUGCCUGCAGACUCAUUUCUGCCUCCUCUGCUCAUUUUGCAUUAGAGUUACUCUCACUGACUUGCAUGAAGUACUCCAGGGGAUUAAAUGUGGUGGAGCCUUUCCCCACACAGUGCCUUGAGAGCUCCGUCUCAGGUGUGACCUAGAGGAGAAGUCUGGAGACACAGAUAUUAAUGAUAUUUCUCCCAUUCAGUGAAGUAGAUGCAUUGAGAAUAUCCAAAGGUGAAGACACGUAGAAAUCUGGCUUUGAAAGUCAAAGCUUACACAGCAUGAGCUGAGCUGUACAAGUACAUGGGUUUUGUACAGCAAGAAAUCAAGCACAAACUUGUGAGACAUGUCUCCUACUGCAGUGUACUUGGGGUGGAAAUUUUGUCAGUCAUACUCAGCAAAAUAUUCAUCUUGUGUUGGCAGUGGCAAUGAACUUCUUUUUUCUUCCAUAGAAAUCUGCAAAAGAUGACCAAUUAGGUAGUUAAAACAUUUCUACUCUUCCACCAUUGGAAUGAUUUUACACAGUACUUUCUCAGCAGAAAAACAAGUGGUAUUUGGGGAACCACCUCACAAAAUGAAAUUUCAUCCAAGUGGGCAAAACAGUGCGAUUAUCUGGGCAGAGAAUGCAGUGGAUUCCAUGUACAUGGGUGGAGAAGAUUUUAUUCUCUGAAUGAGAGAUGAUUGCUCUGGAAAACCUGCUGGGUCACUUUUAAUUAUUAAAAGAGCAAAUUCAUGGUUUCCUCGUGGACCAGUCAGAGAGCAUAGUAUUUUUUUUUUGUUCUAUUUAAACUUAGACUGAUUAAUCAGACUUCCUGGCAGUGGUUGUAAGAGGAAGAUGACUGAGAAUUUAGUAGGUGAGUUAAUUCUCAUUUUUACUGUGUCUCAAGAGCCACCCACUUUCCCUUCACAUGACUCGACACCAAGAAGCCUUUACAAGUUUUGCAGAGUGAGACCAACCUGUUGACCUGCUCUCCUCAUCUUUUAUCCCAUUUUUGCUGCUUCUUCAUUUUAUUUGGCACAUUUCUCAUUUUUUAGCUCCUGUCACCAGCAAAACCCCAUCCCCAACUCCACAUUCUGGAUACGAGUGACGUGGCUUAGUGGCCCUGGUUGUGAUGGGUUGAUGGUUGGACCGGGUGGUUAUCUUUUCCAAUCAUAAUGAUUCAGUUAUUCUGUGAAUGUGCUCUUCAUGUCAAUAAGGGAUUGGUGAAACAUCAUGUCUACUGAAAUGCCAUGGGCUUGUAUAAUGGGUGAGCACAAGCUGUUGUUGAUGCCAUUGUCUGUGUUGAAACAUUAUGGCACCUUCCCCCUGCAGUGAUCUUGGUGACAUAGUAACAUAGGUUCACACCACAGCCCUACUUUCAAUUGGGGUGCUUGUAGGCAUUGUAUGUGUAUUCUCUCCUCUUCUGUUGAUUAUUUUCAAACAGAUUUUAGAAAAGAAUUGCUUUGAGUCUCCUUUUGCAUUUAGCUUGCUUGGACAAGGUGUUAGCAGCUUUCUAAAGGAGAAGGGCACAGAUGUGCAUGCACAGACACUGAAACCACCUUACAGAACUGGGCCACUUGACAAUAUCAGAGAGAACAUUUUGGUCUUCUUGCACCAGCCAUUGGUGAAGGUGUAUAGCAGGAUUUUUGCCAUAGCAGCAAUGUAUACAUGUUUUUCUUUCUGACUGACACUGAAAGCUUAUCAAAUGCCAUCAAGAUACAGAGAGAUGAUAGUUUGGAGCUGGAGAAAGGUUAUUAUUACUUCUUUUCCCCUCAGCAUAUCUUGUUUGGAGGAAGAUACUAGCUUCUGCUACAAACCUCACCACACUUACACCUUGCUUAUUCUAGCUGCAACAACAACAAACAUAUUCCCAUUUCUUUUCCAUUUCAAACCCUCUGAGCUACAUGUAGCAGGGACAUCUCUCAGCAGACCAAAUGCCCAAAGCCCCAUCUCACCUGGCCGAGAACACCUACAGGGAUGCAGCAUCCACAGCUCCUCUGGGCAACCCUGAACAGUUAUUACCAGUUUGUACUGGAAUGAUGUGCAUCAAUGAAAUCCUUACACAUGAUAAGUGAGUGAUAAUCUCUGCCCUCUGUUCUCAUCAGACUCCGCUCUGUUACAGACAGGCAGCCAGGUGUUUCUUUUACCAAAUCUAAUGCUGCAAAACUGGACCAUCUCUCAUUGACAAAGAAUUCAGACUUUUUUUUAACUGAAGUGGAAAACAAUUCCUUGAGGGCUUCUGCCUCCCUGGUUUCUGAGUUCAGAUAUCCACUUUUAGUGAUUAUGGACCUUAAGAAUUCCCACAAUUACAGUUCUGCAAAUAGGAAGUGAUAGUGAGAUAUGAUCAUUG